rnacentral:rRNA from 1 species
GACGAACGCUGGCGGCGUGCUUAACACAUGCAAGUCGAACGGAAAGGCCCUGCUUUUGUGGGGUGCUCGAGUGGCGAACGGGUGAGUAACACGUGAGUAACCUGCCCUUGACUUUGGGAUAACUUCAGGAAACUGGGGCUAAUACCGGAUAGGAUCUCCUGCUGCAUGGUGGGGGUUGGAAAGUUUCGGCGGUUGGUGAUGGAGUCGCGGCUUAUCAGCUUGUUGGUGGGGUAGUGGCUUACCAAGGCUUUGACGGGUAGCCGGCCUGAGAGGGUGACCGGCCACAUUGGGACUGAGAUACGGCACAGACUCCUACGGGAGGCAGCAGUGGGGAAUAGUGCACAAUGGGCGGAAGCCUGAUGCAGCAACGCCGCGUGCGGGAUGACGGCCUUCGGGUUGUAAACCGCUUUCGCCUGUGACGAAGCGUGAGUGACGGUAAUGGGUAAAGAAGCACCGGCUAACUACGUG